rnacentral:rRNA from 1 species
ACGGAAGGCAGCCGUGAGGAAUAUUGGUCAAUGGACGGAAGUCUGAACCAGCCAAGUCGCGUGAAGGAUGAAGGUAUUAUGUAUUGUAAACUUCUUUAGCAGUGGAGUAAUAAGGGGAUCGCGAUCCCUGAUGCAAGUACACUGAGAAUAAGGAUCGGCUAACUCCGUGCCAGCAGCCGCGGUAAUACGGAGGAUCCGAGCGUUAUCCGGAUUUAUUGGGUUUAAAGGGUGCGCAGGCGGCUUUUUAAGUCAGUGGUUAAAUCGUGACGCUCAACGUCAUCACGCCAUUGAUACUGGAGAGCUUGAUUGCGGUCGAGGUUUGCGGAAUUCGUUGUGUAGCGGUGAAAUGCAUAGAUAUGACGAAGAACACCGAUUGCGUAGGCAGCAGACCAGGCCGUAAAUGACGCUCAUGCACGAAAGUGCGGGGAUCGAACAGGAUUAGAUACCCUGGUA